GACGAACGCUGGCGGCGUGGAUUAGGCAUGCAAGUCGAACGGUAGGAUACCUUCGGGUAUCUGAGAGUGGCGAACGGGUGAGUAACACGUAGGUGAUCUACCCUCAAGAUUGGGACAACCCAGGGAAACUUGGGCUAAUACCGGAUGAAAGCAGCAGUGAUGUUGUUUGAAAGGUGGCGUAAGCUGCCGUUUGGGGAUGAGCCUGCGCUCUAUUAGUUAGUUGGCGGGGUAAAGGCCCACCAAGGCGAUGAUAGAUAGGCGGCCUUAACGGGUGGUCGCCCACACUGGGAUUGAGAUACGGCCCAGACUCCUACGGGAGGCAGCAGUCGAGAAUAGUCUACAAUGGCCGAAAGGCUGAUAGUGCGACGCCGCGUGAACGAGAAGCCCUUCGGGUGUAAGUCUUUUAUAUGUGAGCAGUGCUUUCUAUGUGAACAGCAUGGGGAGAGAGAUAUUAGCAUAUGAAUAAGCAACGGCUAACUCCGUGCCAGC
rnacentral:rRNA from 1 species